CGUGUAGGCGGUCAGGUAAGUGGGACGUGAAAUGCCUCGGCUCACCCGAGGAGCGGCGUCCCAUACUGCUUGGCUUGAGUACGGGAGAGGAUGUGGGAAUUCCUGGUGUAGCGGUGAAAUGCGUAGAUAUCAGGAGGAACACCGGUGGCGAAGGCGCACAUCUGGCCCGAUACUGACGCUGAGGCGCGAAAGCUAGGGGAGCAAACA
rnacentral:rRNA from 1 species